rnacentral:rRNA from 1 species
UACGUAGGGGGCUAGCGUUGUCCGGAAUCAUUGGGCGUAAAGAGCGUGUAGGCGGUCCGGUACGUCCGCUGUGAAAGUCGGGGGCUCAACCCUCGAAUGCCGGUGGAUACUGUCGGGCUAGAGUGCGGAAGAGGCGAGUGGAAUUCCUGGUGUAGCGGUGAAAUGCGCAGAUAUCAGGAGGAACACCUAUUGCGAAGGCAGCUCGCUGGGACGUAACUGACGCUGAGACGCGAAAGCGUGGGGAGCAAACAGG